UCAAACAUGGUCCACUGGUACAAGGCUAAAAGAAGGUUCCCACAUUAACCGAAGCUUGCUUACUCUAGGAACUGUAGUUCGCAAACUGAGGUGUGUAUGAAGAAGACAUGUUAUUUCAUCAAAAUCUCUAGCAUGCUAUGUUAGUUUUUUUAUUCAAACGGAACUUAUGAUGCCAGCAAGGGAAAAUAUGGGCACAUACCGUAUAGAGAAUCCAAGCUGACGAGGAUACUACAGAAUUGUUUGGGAGGCAAUGCCAAGACGGCCAUAAUUUGCACGAUGAGCCCAUCGCAUUGUCAUGCCGAACAAUCAAGAAACACCCUUGUGUUCGCCAGUUGUGCCAAACAAGUGUCAACAAGCGCACAAGUCAAUGUGGUGAUGACGGACAAAGCUCUAGUGAAGCAACUCCAAAAGGAGAUCUCUAGAUUGGAGGGCCAGGUGAAGAGUUUCAGAUUGGUGUCUAAAGCCAGUGCAUUACUGAGAGAAAAAGACCUUCUGAUUGAAAAGGUUUGUAGCUUAUUAGUCCAUGUUUUUAAAGAGAGAAAAGGGAUAUUAUUUAUAUGUGUUGGAUUAAUCUAUAGCCGCUCGGUUCAUUGUUCUGAGUUCUAGUUUUCAGUUAAGUGAUUUGGGUGUUUUGCUUAUUCUCUAUCAUGGUAAAAUUUACACAGAUGGAGAAAGAGAUGAAGGAACUAACCUGGCAACGUG
rnacentral:lncRNA from 1 species